rnacentral:rRNA from 1 species
CAUGCAAGCCGAGCGGUAUUGUUUCUUCGGAAAUGAGAGAGCGGCGUACGGGUGCGGAACACGUGUGCAACCUGCCUUUAUCUGGGGGAUAGCCUUUCGAAAGGAAGAUUAAUACUCCAUAAUAUAUUGAACGGCAUCGUUUAAUAUUGAAAGCUCCGGCGGAUAGAGAUGGGCACGCGCAAGAUUAGCUAGUUGGUGAGGUAACGGCUCACCAAGGCGAUGAUCUUUAGGGGGCCUGAGAGGGUGAUCCCCCACACUGGUACUGAGACACGGACCAGACUCCUACGGGAGGCAGCAGUGAGGAAUAUUGGUCAAUGGGUGCAAGCCUGAACCAGCCAUCCCGCGUGAAGGACGACUGCCCUAUGGGUUGUAAACUUCUUUUGUAUAGGGAUAAACCUACCCUCGUGAGGGUAGCUGAAGGUACUAUACGAAUAAGCACCGGCUAACUCCGUGCCAGCAGCCGCGGUAAUACGGAGGGUGCAAGCGUUAUCCGGAUUUAUUGGGUUUAAAGGGUCCGUAGGCGGACUUAUAAGUCAGUGGUGAAAGCCUGUCGCUUAACGAUAGAACUGCCAUUGAUACUGUAAGUCUUGAGUAUAUUUGAGGUAGCUGGAAUAAGUAGUGUAGCGGUGAAAUGCAUAGAUAUUACUUAGAACACCAAUUGCGAAGGCAGGUUACCAAGAUAUAACUGACGCUGAAGGACGAAAGCGUGGGGAGCGAACAGAAUUAGAUACCCUGGUAGUCC